AUUGAACGCUGGCGGCAGGCUUAACACAUGCAAGUCGAGCGGGGGAAGGUAGCUUGCUACCGGACCUAGCGGCGGACGGGUGAGUAAUGCUUAGGAAUCUGCCUAUUAGUGGGGGACAACAUCUCGAAAGGGAUGCUAAUACCGCAUACGUCCUACGGGAGAAAGCAGGGGAUCUUCGGACCGUGCGCUAAUAGAUGAGCCUAAGUCGGAUUAGCUAGUUGGUGGGGUAAAGGCCUACCAAGGCGACGACCUGUAGCGGGUCUGAGAGGAUGAUACGCCACACUGGGACUGGGACACGGCCCAGACUCCUGCGGGAGGCAGCAGUGGGGAAUAUUGGACAAUGGGGGGAACCCUGAUCCAGCCAUGCCGCGUGUGUGAAGAAGGCCUUAUGGUUGUAAAGCACUUUAAGCGAGGAGGAGGCUACUCUAGUUAAUACCUAGGGAUAGUGGACGUUACUCGCAGAAUAAGCACCGGCUAACUCUGUGCCAGCAGCCGCCGUAA
rnacentral:rRNA from 1 species